GACGAACGCUGGCGGCGUGCUUAACACAUGCAAGUCGAACGGAAAGGCCCUGCUUUUGUGGGGUGCUCGAGUGGCGAACGGGUGAGUAACACGUGAGUAACCUGCCCUUGACUUUGGGAUAACUCUAGGAAACUGGGGCUAAUACCGGAUAGGAGCUCCUGCUGCACGGUGGGGGAUGGAAAGUUCCGGCGGUUCGGGAUCUACUCGCGGCUUAUCAGCUUGUUUGUGAGGUAGUGGCUUACCAAGGCUUCGACGGGUAGCCGGCCUGGGAGGGUUACCGGCCACAUGGGGACUGAGAGACGGACCAGACUCGUACGGGAGGCAGCAGUGGGGAGUAUUGCACAGUGGGCGGGAGCCUGAUGCAGCAGCGCCGCGUGCGGGAUGACGGCCUACGGGUUGUAAACAGCUUUGGCCUGUGACGAAGCGUGAGUGACGGUAAUGGGUAAAGAAGCACCGGCUAACUACGUG
rnacentral:rRNA from 1 species